AGAAGGAAUAUCUAUUAAUGAUACAUUCUCAUAUCAAAGAGUACCAAGAUCAUUUAGAGAAGCUGGUUUAAGUAUAAUAGCAUUUAAUAAGACUAGUGCUACUGCUUCCUUCAAUGUACCAGUUACAUUAGAGUGUACUGGUGAAGCUCCUGGGAAUAUUA